GAUGAACGCUAGCUACAGGCUUAACACAUGCAAGUCGCAGGGUAACAUGAGGAAAGCUUGCUUUCCUUGAUGACGACUGGCGCACGGGUGGGUAACGCGUAUCCAACCUUCCCAUAACUACGGGAUAACCCGUUGAAAGACGGCCUAAUACCGUAUGACAUCGUUUGCUGACAUCAAAUAACGAUUAAAGGUUUAGCGGUUAUGGAUGGGGAUGCGUCUGAUUAGCUUGUUGGCGGGGUAACGGCCCACCAAGGCGACGAUCAGUAGGGGUUCUGAGAGGGAGGUCCCCCACAUUGGAACUGAGACACGGUCCAAACUCCUACGGGAGGCAGCAGUGAGGAAUAUUGGUCAAUGGGCGAGAGCCUGAACCACCCAAGUAGCGUGCAGGACGACGGCCCUAUGGGUUGUAAACUGCUUUUAUGUGGGGAUAAAGUGCGUGACGUGUCAUGCAUUGCAGGUACCACAUGAAUAAGGACCGGCUAUUUCCGUGCCAGCAGCCGCGGUAAUACGGAAGGUCCGGGCGUUAUCCGGAUUUAUUGGGGUUAAAGGGAGCGUAGGCUGUCUAUUAAGCGUGUUGUGAAAUAUACCGGCUCAACCGGUGGCUUGCAGCGCGAACUGGUCGACUUGAGUAUGCAGGAAGUAGGCGGAAUUCAUGGUGUAGCGGUGAAAUGCUUAGAUAUCAUGACGAACUCCGAUUGCGCAGGCAGCUUACUGUAGCAUAACUGACGCUGAUGCUCGAAAGUGCGGGUAUCAAACAGGAUUAGAUACCCUGGUAGUCCGCACGGUAAACGAUGGAUGCUCGCUAUUCGUCCUAUUUGGAUGAGUGGCCAAGUGAAAACAUUAAGCAUCCCACCUGGGGAGUACGCCGGCAACGGUGAAACUCAAAGGGAUUGACGGGGACCCGCACAAGCGGUGGAGCAUGUGGUUUAAUUCGAAGCAACGCGAAGAACCUUACCAAAUCUUGACAUCCUCUGACCCCUCUAGAGAUAGAGUUUUCCCCUUCGGGGGACAGAGUGACAGGUGGUGCAUGGUUGUCGUCAGCUCGUGUCGUGAGAUGUUGGGUUAAGUCCCGCAACGAGCGCAACCCUUAAGCUUAGUUGCCAUCAUUAAGUUGGGCACUCUAAGUUGACUGCCGGUGACAAACCGGAGGAAGGUGGGGAUGACGUCAAAUCAUCAUGCCCCUUAUGAUUUGGGCUACACACGUGCUACAAUGGACAAUACAAAGGGUAGCGAAACCGCGAGGUCAAGCAAAUCCCAUAAAGUUGUUCUCAGUUCGGAUUGUAGUCUGCAACUCGACUAUAUGAAGCUGGAAUCGCUAGUAAUCGUAGAUCAGCAUGCUACGGUGAAUACGUUCCCGGGUCU
rnacentral:rRNA from 1 species